rnacentral:rRNA from 1 species
UACGUAGGUGGCAAGCGUUGUCCGGAUUUAUUGGGUUUAAAGGGUGCGUAGGCGGUCCUAUAAGUCAGUGCUGAAAUAUCCCGGCUUAACCGGGAGGGUGGCAUUGAUACUGCAGGACUUGAGUAAAGUUGAGGUUGGCGGAAUUGACGGUGUAGCGGUGAAAUGCUUAGAUAUCGUCAAGAACACCGAUUGCGAAGGCAGCUAACUAAGUUUUAACUGACGCUGAGGCACGAAAGUGUGGGGAUCAAACAGG